rnacentral:lncRNA from 1 species
CUCUGAAUGAUGAGGGGAGAUAAUAUAAAUCUUAAUCUAGAGGUGAAGAAAGGUUGGGAAAGUGUUGGCAAGACAAAAACCAACUCGAGGAGGAGGAGGUAGUGGUGGUGGUGGUGGUGGUGGUAAAAGAAAUAACAAUCAAAUCUCCCUCUCCCUCAAACCAUAUUCUACCAUUUAAGGAAAGAGGCCACACUGGAUAAUAUAGUUAUAUUUCUGAAAAAUUAUGGGAUAGUUAGGGCUGGAAUACCUUAGAUCAUAGAUCUCCUUGAUUAUGGUUGUUGUAGGGCUAAACAGCAAUAGUAACUUACAGAGACUGAUAUCAUGCAUACACAAAAUAUAAACACCCAAUUUAUGCACACACACACACACACACACAUAUAUAAAGAGAGAGAAAGUGAGAGAUGCAUACACAAAUCUGUCAGCGAUGUGCACAUUAACAAUCGUAAUUCUUCAACAGAACUGCACACACACACUCUUAUGCCUGUAACACACUUCUCCCACCACCAAAUAAACAAGAACUUUGUAACAAUUGCAACUGGCUCUGAAUGAUGAGGGGAAGAAAGGUUGGGAAAGUGUUGGCAAGACAAAAACCAACUCGAGGAGGAGGAGGUAGUGGUGGUGGUGGUGGUGGUGGUAAAAGAAAUAACAAUCAAAUCUCCCUCUCCCUCAAACCAUAUUCUACCAUUUAAGGAAAGAGGCCACACUGGAUAAUAUAGUUAUAUUUCUGAAAAAUUAUGGGAUAGUUAGGGCUGGAAUACCUUAGAUCAAUUUAUGCACACACACACACACACACACAUAUAUAAAGAGAGAGAAAGUGAGAGAUGCAUACACAAAUCUGUCAGCGAUGUGCACAUUAACAAUCGUAAUUCUUCAACAGAACUGCACACACACACUCUUAUGCCUGUAACACACUUCUCCCACCACCAAAUAAACAAGAACUUUGUAACAAUUGCAACUGGCUCUGAAUGAUGAGGGGAAGAAAGGUUGGGAAAGUGUUGGCAAGACAAAAACCAACUCGAGGAGGAGGAGGUAGUGGUGGUGGUGGUGGUGGUGGUAAAAGAAAUAACAAUCAAAUCUCCCUCUCCCUCAAAAAUUGAUAAACUGGAAAAAUUGUUAUAGCAUUGUCUGCAAAUCAAUGAAAUUGUGUAAGUCUAUAGUCACUGUUUCAGAUUCCAAAGAAACUAUGGACCACCCCAGUGAGUUUUACAACAACCUAGUGCCAUCUGAGGUAUCACUUCACAGAUUCACUUAUAAGAAAGCCAUUUAAAGUUAAGAUAUAUAUUUACCCUGAGGUACAAAUUGAAAAAAGAUGUUUUAAUGAAAAUAAGUGACCUAGUGAAUUCAAAAAUACCAAAACAUUUUUGUUUAAAAAAAAUUAAGUUGGUGAAACAGUUUUCUUAUGGCAAAAUAAUUUUAGAUUCUAUAUUAUUUAGUGCCCAACAUUUUAAACCCUUUAUUAAUAGAGGAAUAAUAA